CCAGCGUCGCCGGAGCCACUGCAACCUGUGCCGCCCACCCCGGGGAUCGGCCGGCGCCAUGGACCGAGGCCGGGCCCACAUGAACCAUGAAGACUUCCCUGUACACUCUGGGACAACAGGAAGUGUUUGUUUUAGUGAUCAACAAUGCUACUCCAACCAGUGUGGUCCCCUCCAAUGUUCUGCCCACUGUUUGGCCUUCACUUGGACUUAGAGAAGUGCUUGUAAAUUCAAAGGAAGGAAGUGCGAUGUCCCCAUAGCCCCAAAUGGGUAGAUCUGCAACGGCUUGGAAGAGACUGUGGGCAGGGGAAGGAGAGAUUUCUGCACCCCUGAAGUGAAGGGGCAAUUCUACUGGCCUCACCUGUGUUCCUGGAGGCUUCUCUGCUGGUUAACCCAGAGCUGGACAUAGACAAAAGUAGCAGCCUGAAGGAGCACUGCGGGAGGCAUCCCUGAGUAGCUCCCCAGUAUUCUUCCCAUUCUGCAAUCCUCAGUUCCCACACCUGCAAAAUGGGGCUAGCCCACCUUGUCAUAAGAAUGAAAUUCUGUAAAAUAAUACAAGUACCUGUAACUCUCUUAGAGCAGAGUAUGACUUACAUGGUAAUAGUGGAAGAAUAAUGUAAAUAGCUAACAUUUAUUGAGUAUUUACUAUGUGCCAGACACUGUUCCAGGCACAUUCUCAUGUAUUAAGGCCUAUUCCCACUGAUGAGGUGGUGUACUCAUAGGUCACCAACGAUGCACAUGAGGAAUGGGGCAGUUGUGUAAGUGCCCCAAAGGUGCACAGCUAGGAAAUGCGGAAACAGGACUUGAACUCAAGUAGUUUGGAUUGUUCAAUAUAUGUUAGUUUCCUAAUUUAUAUGUUAAGAUUAAAAUCCACCAACUACAAAA